UUCAAUGUGUAGGCACCUUUAGCGGUACGUGCUCUGUGAAUUUGCAGAGGAACCGGUAUUAUUGGCGGUAGCAUAGCUAGCAGGAUGAAAUAGGCGGUAGGUGCUGUAAGUCAGUAGUAGGGUAACUACAUUCAGUUCAGUUUGAGUUUGUGUUUAAGAGCAGUCGCCGUAAGCUUGCUGUUUUAAACACCAUCGACUGGGAAGAAAUUACAAAACUGUUACCAGAAAGAAGCCUCUGCAAAACUGGAGAGAAGAUGGAGAGUAAACCGGAAGAAACACAAACCAAUGAAUCAAACAGAAGAGUGAAAAUAACAAGACUCAACAGCAUGGAGGAUUUAAAACCGAACUUGUUUCCUGAUCCGGUCAAACCCGAGCCUCGUUCUGAUGAUCCAGAGACGGCUCAAGACGAGAAAACCAAAGACGUUAAUUUUCAGCGCAGAUGUCUUCAUCCGGUUCUGUCAUGACGUUUACCUUUGUUGCUAACUCCAUGCUUUAGAAGCUCACCUGUGCAUUCCCUAAAUAAUGACUGAGCCAUUCAUAACCCGGUGAAAUGAGUAUUUAGAUAAUAAUACGCUUCACUAAUGAUGGCUUUGAUUCUGUAGCAUCUACACUAAGGACAGACUCUGAAGUCUCUUAGACUUUGUUUAUUCCUGCUAUUUACAUUCAAUUUAGGUCAUCACGAGUUACUGUAGUCCGUUUGUCCUGAUUGAUUGAAUUGAAAAUGAACUUAUUUAAUGUAAGUAUUAGACUGAAUCCCAAUUUAGCUAGUUUCUAAUAAGUGCUUAAGCUUUCAGAAAUGCUGUACAGUAAAUAGAAGACACUGAUACUUACAAACAAUUACAAAUAAAGGAAAUGAUAACCUUUCA